rnacentral:lncRNA from 1 species
GGAGUGUAUAUUGCUUGUGCUUGCAGACGUCAGGUAAGUUAUAGAUUAAUUUUCUUUAGUGAUUUUGGGUGAAGGGGAGAGGUUAAAGAAUAAUACAUAAUACAUUAUGCUUCAGAAGAGUAAGAUCAUAAAAAAAGCUUGAAGUAACCCUUUAAUUCGUUCUGCAUAUCCACAAGGCUCUGCAAGUGUAGCACCAGCACAAGCUAAUUGGUUAGACUGAAAAGGUACAUGGGAAAAUAGUGCCAUAUUGCUGCUUGCAGUUGCAGGUGUGUUAAAGAUGGAGGUUAGUUAAUUGUCAGACAGACUCUUUUGCGAUGGUUACAGUGUUCAGAGUGUCAAUUCAAUUGUCCAAGUUCAGCUAAGUACUGUGUAUUGUGUAAAGGCUUUACUUUCAGACAAUCACUGCCAUCCAGAAUAAAAAUAAUUAAUGCUGUUAAUGCAGAAGUGAAGCAGCUUAAUGAAGUGGUCUGGGUGCCAGGUCCAUCUAGGAUUAACCCUGCCUGCUGUAAACAUAGCAGUUUCAGAGAAACUGCUAUGCUUACAUUUGAGGUUAAGCCAGCCUCUAGUGGCUGUCUCAUUGAUUUUCACAGUGAGAAGACGCCAGCGUCCAUAGGAAAGCAUUGAGAAUGCUGUCCUAUGGACUGGCUGAAUGCACGCGUGGCUUUUGCCGCGCAUGCGCAUUCAGCCGAUGACGACCGAAGGAGAAGGAGAGUCCCCAGCGCCGCAUAAGGUUUUAACUCCUUUCUCCCCCUUCAGCCGAGAGGGAGUGGGACCCUGAGGGUGGGGGCACCCUCAGGGCACUAUAGGAAAAAAUGAGUUAGUUUUACUGGCACUACAGGAAAACGAGUUAGUUUUCCUGGCACUACAGUGGUCCUUUAAAUUUCAAAUUAACUUUGUAUUCUCUCUUUAGAGAAUAACCCUGCUUAACCACUUAAGGACCGAGAAUUUGAGCUAUAUGUCUGUUUAACCAUAAGUUGCCUCUUCCCCAUUAAAGCGGCACUGUCAUGCCGAACUUACUUUUCCUCAAUCUCUUCCUCUUCCCCCCCUCUUUCAGGAUCUGUUCUUCUUUUCUUCUUGUCUUCUUUAGUUUUCUUUAAAAUCAUAAGAAAAAGUAGGGACUCUUUGGAGGCCUUAUGGAGGUUUCCUCCGCUUGACUAGCUUUGACCAGCGGAGGAGCAGAGUGUGCUUCAAUUCCGCUGGUCAGAGCAAUUUUCCCAUAAUUCUUACCUUUCCUCUGUGAUCUGGCGAUGGUUCCUGUCAUUUUAGACGAAACUGCCGAAUUGCGUUCUAACUCAAUGAGAACCGUAUGUUCGUUUGUUUUAGAACGCAAUUCGUCACUUUGUUCAUAUCGGAAUUUCAUUCGAAUGAAUGAAACUCCGAUCCUAUUUAUUGCCGCGGCUGCAUCAUGCAGCCGCUUAAUAGAUAACUCCCUAAUUCGCACGGUAUUAGGGAGCUAUCUACUAAAAGCCUGAAAGACCUAAAUUGGUCUUUCAGCCACAUUUACUAAUACUAAGUUAAGAUUACUUAGUAUUAGUAAAUAAUAUGCCCCUACUGUCCUCCACCCGGCCCCCACCCUGAGCGCUGGGUGUGGGCCCUAAAAACAAUAAAGGGGGAUCCUACUGUCCUCCCCCCAGCACCCAUCUCUGAACGGUGGGUGGGGGCCCUAAAAAAUAAUAAGGUGCCCCCCUACUUGCGGUAUAGCGAGUAGGAGCAUUCGGGAGAUUUUAAUCUUCCUUAUGCUAUUAUGGGGGGUCAUAUUGACCCCCACAGAGUGAGGUAGGAAAUGGGGGACUUAGGAAGUGGUGGGGAGCACUGCUCCCUGCCGCUUCUAUCUUUACAUAUUACAAGGAGGGAUUUACAUAUUACAAGGAGCUACUGCCAGCCGGUAGCUCCCUCCUUGUAAUAAACUGCACGAACAAACAAACACUAAUACACAGUGUUUGUUUGUUCGUCUGACAUUUCCAUUCAUUUAUUCGUCUUUCUGAAAAAUGAAUGAAUAGAUGAAAUUCCCGUUCGCAUACCCAAGUGUUUCACUGGGCAUGUGCGGGAAUCUCAGUGCCAUCUCAUGUGGGCAGAUGACGUGUCCCACAGGGACUUCCUCUACCCACACAAAGAUGGCAGCGCCCUGAAUAUAGAUCGGGGCAGAAAAUAAAGAAUAAAAAAUAGGUAAUAUGGGGGGCUUAGGGGCAUUUGGAGGUGACUAGGGGGUCAGUUAGAUAUAGUGGAGGCAGGAGGGGGGUUAAAAAAAAAAAAUCUAAAAAAAGUAUGACAAAUUAAGAACUUUUGUUAUUUUCCAAGUUCUGCAUAUCAUUUUAACUAUGAAUGUCAUAAUACUGUUAGCUUUUACUGCAAUAAAACAAAGAUACUUGUAUGCUAUGAUGUCCCACAAGUACAAAAAUCCCCCCACAUGUACAGGUUUCAUUGUGUUUUGGAAAGUUACAGGGUCAUAUGCGAGGCUUGCCCAUUUCAGUUUUUCCACUUUGAAAUUUGGCAGACUGGAUUGCUGGACCUUUGUUGCAUUUAAAACUGUAUGGCGGCCCAAGAAUGAAAAUGGUCCUCCUUAUGGCAUGCCAUUUGCAAAAGUAGAAAACACAAGGUAUUUAAUAUCAGGUAUGUCCAGUCUUUUUUAGUGGCCCCUUUUUUAAAAAUUCCUGGCCAAAUUUAGUGUUCAUAUAAUUUGUUUGCAUUUUGACACACAAAAACUGCCCUUUUACCAAUGAUAUGAUCAUUAUUAUAUGUUUUACUGCUCUAAAAUACUUGUAUUUGUGUUCAGCAAUGUCUCAUGAGUACAACAGUACCCGCCAUAUUUAUCUGAUUAUUAUCAUAUGAAAAAAAUUCAGAGAGAUUUCAGAAUUAAGAAUGUACCAACUAUCGAUAGAAACAACCCAGAAGUCUGCCCAAAAAUUUAUUGCAGUUCAUUGGACCUUAGACUGGUGGUCAUAGAGGAGGUGGGUUGUGAAAAUUACCAAAUAUAAAAUAUCUGUGUAUGAACUUAAACAUAAAUGUGACAUUGGCUACACCAAAUGCACUAAUUUAAAAGCUUUAUGAAGUUUUAAAACAAUAUAAAAUAGGUUUUGUAAUAUUUAAACAUCAAAAGUUGGAAAAAGUACAAACUGAUUAUUCUGAGCACAGUGUCUACAAGUGGCUGUCAGGGGAUAACAGCCGCCUACCACAGAGACCGUAUAGACUCCAAAUACGAAAACCUAUUAGAUCUACUGUAGAUAUUACGGCUGGAGAGUCAGCGUCUGAUACUGAACAAAGCAGCACCACAGGCAGAGGAUUACCACCUAAACAUUCAACUGCAAGACAAGCAUCAGUGUUUCUUUUCAGAGCCAGGUCUGAUAUUAAGCCGAGAACCACUACACAGUUUAAAUCGUAGCAGAGGCACAGCAAACACAGAUCCUUAUUCUUCAGGAGGGGUCAGAAAGGGAAGGCAUACAAAGAAGGAGACCAUCUUGCACUAACAGAUAUUUCCACUAUGACCUUAUCUAAGAGAGUUCUCACUGAUGUUGAAACACACCUACUAUCUAAGGGACUACAUUAAUAUCAAUCUCUGGCGUUGAUGAUUUUUAUUGGGAAGUGGACCAAUUUAAAUUUACACGGAAACUACGAUUAGCAGACUAUUUUAACCAUUAAUCCGAAUGUAACAUGGCUAGUGAAAUUAAAACUUUGAAGGUUUGCAGUCUUUUUGACCACCUCCACAAGUUCCUUUCUAAAAGUCUUUUCACAGAACUUGAAAAAGGGAUAGCAGGAAUAUCCUCUAACACAGGGAAAGGAACAGUGCGAAUAUCUCUAAUGCAGACAUAGAUGCACUACGAAGCCUGGCAUCUGGUCUAUCUAUAAUAACUAUCUGCCCUGCUGACAAGGGGGAGGCAUGGUCCUUAUGCAAUAUGAGUACUAUAGGAGAAAGAUACUAAUUUAUACACCUACACAGAAAUAGAUCCUGUUCAUGAUUUUUAUAGUUAUUCAACAGACUUUAAAACAUGGUCUCAAUGAAGGAUACAAAUCACAGCAUGUAUACGACAAACUACUGAAAACUCACCCAUGUAGCCAGGUUUAAUAUAGCUUACCAAAAAUGUUUAAUGACCCAGAAACCAGCCGUGCUGUCCAAUAGCUAUUCACAGGGCCGGACUGGGCAUUAAAAGCAGCCCUGGAAAAAAAAUAUUUACCAGCCCCAUAAUGUGUUGCACCAGCAUAGUGUGCAGAUACAGAGUUAGAACAGAUAACUUAAAAUUAAAAAGUACUUCAACGUAAAAAGCGCACUCAUAGGCUUCAAAAUAAACAAAAGUGCAGAUUUAUUUUAAGCAGACGUGCCUUUGCAUGUAAUCAAUGUUUCAGUCCAACUACCUUGACAUAUUAAGGAAAGCUUGUUAAUGGGACUGAAAUGGUGAAUGUAUGUAGGGCACAACUGUAAAAAAUUACGUUAUCUUGUUUAUUUUGAAGUCCUGUGGGUGCACUCUUCACUUUAAAUAUGUUAUUGUGCUGGAGUAUGCACCUAGCAACAAGACUGGGCCAAUAUCUGCUCAUUACAUAUGGUACAUAUUAAUGAAAUUUCUCUGUGUAUUAUGCAUAUAUAAAUGUACAUUAAUAUGUGUAAAUAUAAUAUAUAUAUAGAUAUAGAUAUAGAUAUAUAACUAAUACACACAUUAAUAUACAUGUCAUAUACCAGUGACGGAUCAAGAGCCUGAGCCCGGGAGGGGCACUUGUAGAUUAUUUAAAGAUAUAUUCCAUGCACAAUAACCACUACUCCUCUGUGUAGUGGUUAUGGUGCCAGGAGUGUCGGCACCCCUCCCAGAGUAAGUAGUCAAACCGUUUAAGAACAGUUUGACAACUUACCUGGAGUCUGCUGGGAUAUGUGGCUGUAGUAGGGUAUAGGAGCAGUGGUGCAAUGUGUGAGGGGUGCAAUGUGUGUGAAAGGUUCAGUGUGUGUGUGUGUGUGUGUGUGUGUGUGUGUGUGUGUGUGUGUGGGCAGUGUGUGUAUGGGGCUAGAGUUCACUCCUACUACUGCGACCACCAGGAAGUGGUGAGAGUGAACUCUAGCCCAUAGCUCCAGGGCUAGAGUUCACCCUCGUUAGAGCCGGAGCGUUGCCCCGGGUCCUCUCUUUCUCCCCCUUACUGCUCCUCUGUGUCAAUGUCUCCCCUCUCCUUCCCAGUCUCUCUCUUCCCCCUCUGCCUCUUUCUUCCCCUCCCCUUGGGUGUCUCUCUCUUCCCCCUCUGCCUCUUUCACCCCCUUUCCCUGUGUCUCUCCCUCCUCUCCAUCUCUCUCCCUCCCCCUUUCCCUGUGUCUCUCCCUCCAACCCAUCUCCCCCCUUUCCCUGUGUCUCGCACCUCUCCUCAUCUCUCUCCCUCCAACCCCAUCCUACCCCCCUUCCUGUGUCUCUACCACUCUCCCCAUCUCCUCUUCCUCCCCCCUUUCCUGUGUCUCUCCCUCAGCCCAUCUCCCCUUUCCCUGUGUCUCUCCCCUCUUCUGUCUCUCCUCCCUCCCCUUUCCUGUGUCUCUCCCCCUCUCCCCAUUUCUCUCCCUCCCCCCUUUCCUGUGUCUCUCCCACUCUCAGAUCCCUCCUUUUCCCGUGUCUCUCUCCCUCUCCCAUUUCUCUCCCCUCCCCCCCUUUCCUGUGAUACUUCCUCCUCUCUCAGGUCCCUCCUUUCCCGUGUCUCCUCCUCCCCCCCUUUUCUCCUGUGUCUCUCCCAUCUCCCUCCCUCUCCCUUUCCCUGUCUCUCCCCCUCUCCCAUCUAUCUCCCUCCUUUCCCUGUGUCUCUCCUCUCUCCCUCUUUUCCCUGUGUCUCUCCUCUCUCCCUCUUUUCCCUGUGUCUCUCCUCUCUCCCUCUUUUCCCUGUGUCUCUACUCUCUCCCUCCCCCUCUUUUCCCUGUGUCUCUCCUCCCCCCUUUUCCUGUGUCUCUCCCCCAUCCUCCUCUCCCUCCUUUUCCUGUGUCUCUCCCUCUCCUCCUUCCCCCUUUUCCUGUGUCUCUCCCCUUUCCCUCCCUCCCCCUUUCCUGUGUCUCUCCCCUCUCCCUCCCUCCCCCCUUUCCUGUGUCUCUCCCCUCUCCCUCCCCUCCCCCCUUUCCUGUGUGCCACCCCUCUCCUCCUUCCCCCCUUUCCCUGUGUCUCUCCCCUCUUCCUCCCUCCCUUCCUUUCCCUGUGUCUCUCCCCUCUUCUCAGCUCUCUCCCUCCCCCCUUUCCCUGUGUCUCUCCCCUCUCCGUCCCUCCUUUUUACCUUAUAGAAGGCAGGGGGCCGGCCACGUUCCAGGCUGGAGCCGCCGGGCCGGGUGGCAGCUUCGCCGGUCCGGCGGCACUGCUGUGGCUGAUGGCUGAAGGAGGAGGAGCCUGUCUCUGUACCAUGCUCCCUCGCGGUUCCCACAAUUCCCAGCACAGAAACCACGAGGGAGCAUGGUAUACAUGCUCCUCCUCCUUCAGCCAUCAGCCACAGCAGUGCCUGGAACACAGCCGGCCCCCUCAGAAUGCCACCGGACCGGCCACCCAGUGGCACCUAUGUGGCAGCACAGCCCCCAGGUGCCGCGGCCCACCGGGAAAUUUCCCGGUAUUCCGGUGGGCCAGUCCGGCCCUGGCUAUUCAUAUGUCCCCACCUGCUGCAUGGAUAAUGCUGCCCGUGAGCAGUUUGAUGGCUUUUGAUAGGAUUUAAAGCAUUCGGUUCCAGAUUUCAAGUUCAGGCCUGAAUUGCAAGAUAUAGACAUUGCAAAAUAUUGUGAACAAUGUCUGGGUUUUGCUGUACAACAGGGUCAUUCGGAUUUCAGUGAAUAACCCUGUCAGAAUGUGGCCAUAAAAAGAAAACAGGCUUGUUGAACAAGAUAAACAUAAAACAAUUAAGUCCAGCUCUCAAACUACCAAUAUUCCUAGCCGGCAGCAAUGACUAUAGUACACAUCAGCCUCAAUACAUACAAUAAGAAACAAAGAGGCAUUGCUGCCGCCCAUGACUAGUGGGAGUUUGAGUGCAGGGCUUAAUUCUGUAUGUUUUGUUUUGCUUUUGUAUUACACAGCCAUGUUAUAGUGCUGACACCUACCCCGUAUUUCCUAUUAAGGGUUAAUAAAUGUUUGGGGUUUAGAAAAAUACCCCUUUCUAACUCCUUGGAGAUUUGGCGCCGAGCAUCCCAACUAUGGAGUUCCUCUAAGUUUUUCUUAACAUACUUAUUUAUAACAACACCUGGGACAAGAUGGCCCAUUCAGCAGCAGAAACCAUUAAAUAAUUUGAUGGUGUAAGUGGGAGGAAUUUUGUAGUGAGCUAGGUGGUCUUUGGGCCAGAGGAAGGCAGUUGGGGCUUGACUGAUUGUGUGGAAAUGAGGUUGAAAGGGAGACCUACAUUUGUCUAUAUUGGUAAAGCUGUUCUUCAUUGCUUUUUCUUUCUUGCUUCAGCUGCUUUCAACUUUCUUCACUUUGCUAUUCUUGCUUUUGCUUUCCUUGACUGCAUGCCUUAACUGGUGCAUUUUCACUUUCCAAGGAGUUAUUGAGCUGUGGAUUCUCUAACCUAUUCACAUGAUGUUUUCAAUGUAUAAACAAGUUUAUUGUAUCUUUUUUUUUUAUUGUGGAAAAAAAGAAAUUUGUACAAACAGAAUGCAAAUGCCACAUUGGUCAAUAUUUAGACAUUUCAAACCGUGGUGGUGUAGCAAACGAGAUGGAAAUAGCAUGAGCAACAUAGACUGGGAGGUAUGUGGGAGCUGCACGCCGGUGAUCACGUGAAUGGGAUUUAAUCUUUCCCCAGUAUAUUUGUAUAGUGGGGCAUGUCCACCAAAUGUGCCCUGGGUGCCUAUUGCUUGUUUGCAUCGCCAGCACGUGUUGGGUGCGUUGAGAAAGAAUCGGUUAANNNNNNNNNNNNNNNNNNNNNNNNNNNNNNNNNNNNNNNNNNNNNNNNNNNNNNNNNNNNNNNNNNNNNNNNNNNNNNNNNNNNNNNNNNNNNNNNNNNNUCUCCCCUCUCCCUAUCCCUCUCCCUCCCCCCUCCACCAUCUCUCCAUUCCCCUCACCAUCUCUCCCCCCCAAUUUACCUUAGAGAAGGCAGGGGGGCGGCCGUGUUCCAGGCUGGAGCCGCCGGGCUGGGUGGCAGCUUCGCCGGUCCGGCGGCACUGCUGUGGCUGAUGGCUGAAGGAGGAGGAGCCUGUCCCCACCUGCUGCGUGGAUAAUGCUGCCCGUGAGCAGUUUGAUGGCUUUUGAUAGGAUUUAAAAGCAUUCGGUUCCAGAUUUCAAGUUCAGGCCUGAAUUGCAAGAUAUAGACAUUGCUAAAUAUUGUGAACAAUGUCUGGGUUUUGCUGUACAACAGGGUCAUUCGGAUUUCAGUGAAUAACCCUGUCAGAAUGUGGCCAUAAAAAGAAAACAGGCUUGUUGAACAAGAUAAACAUAAAACAAUUAAGUCCAGCUCUCAAACUACCAAUAUUCCUAGCCGGCAGCAAUGACUAUAGUACACAUCAGCCUCAAUACAUACAAUAAGAAACAAAGAGGCAUUGCUGCCGCCCAUGACUAGUGGGAGUUUGAGUGCAGGGCUUAAUUCUGUAUGUUUUGUUUUGCUUUUGUAUUACACAGCCAUGUUAUAGUGCUGACACAUACCCCGUAUUUCCUAGUAAGGGUUAAUAAAUGUUUGGGGUUUAGAAAAAUACCCCUUUCUAACUCCUUGGAGAUUUGGCGCUGAGCAUCCCAACUAUGGAGUUCCUCUAAGUUUUUCUUAACAUACUUAUUUAUAACAACACCUGGGACAAGAUGGCCCAUUCAGCAGCAGAAACCAUUAAAUAAUUUGAUGGUGUAAGUGGGAGGAAUUUUGUAGUGAGCUAGGUGGUCUUUGGGCCAGAGGAAGGCAGUUGGGGCUUGACUGAUUGUGUGGAAAUGAGGUUGAAAGGGAGACCUACAUUUGUCUAUAUUGGUAAAGCUGUUCUUCAUUGCUUUUUCUUUCUUGCUUCAGCUGCUUUCAACUUUCUUCACUUUGCUAUUCUUGCUUUUGCUUUCCUUGACUGCAUGCCUUAACUGGUGCAUUUUCACUUUCCAAGGAGUUAUUGGGCUGUGGAUUCUCUAACCUAUUCACAUGAUGUUUUCAAUGUAUAAACAAGUUUAUUGUAUCUUUUUUUUUUAUUGUGGAAAAAAAGAAAUUUGUACAAACAGAAUGCAAAUGCCACAUUGGUCAAUAUUUAGACAUUUCAAACCGUGGUGGUGUAGCAAACGAGAUGGAAAUAGCAUGAGCAACAUAGACUGGGAGGUAUGUGGGAGCUGCACGCCGGUGAUCACGUGAAUGGGAUUUAAUCUUUCCCCAGUAUAUUUGUAUAGUGGGGCAUGUCCACCAAAUGUGCCCUGGGUGCCUAUUGCUUGUUUGCAUCGCCAGCACGUGUUGGGUGCGUUGAGAAAGAAUCGGUUAACCCUGGUCGGUGUGUAGUGCCAUCUUGAGAUUCUUUUGUAGUUCCCCUCGUGGGUGUUGGUGCUUAGGGAUGAUUUGAAGAUGUUUGUAAAAAUAUGUGUCCAUUUCCUGUCCUGUAAGGUUAUCCCUAGUUCUUCCUCCCACUGUUUGGUAAAGUCUGGGAGGCAGUCAUCUUGUCGGUUCUGGAUACGUUUGUAGAAGGUGGAUAGAUGUUUGGUUUUUAAAUUAUGUGUGGAGCAAAUUGUUUCAAAUUGGGUGGGUGUUCUAGAGCCCUUUAGGAGAAUGGGGUUAGGCCUGGAUAUAAUGUGUGAUUUGCUUAUGUCUGAACCGAAGUAAUUUAGUUCGCCGGUCCUGUGGUAUGAGUUCGUUGAAAGGUCGUAUACCCUCGUCUGUCAAUAGCACUCCAAGAGAUAGGUAGUUCGGGUCUGGUAAAACAAAUUAAGAAUGUAGCACUUAUACAAAAACAAAAUGAAUUAAUCACCUUUUCAAGGUAAAAUGUCACUAGAAAAUUGGCAAGGAAAGAUGUAAAUGGAGAGCUAUCGACUUAGCUCUAGUUCAAAUGGCUUCUGAGUCUGUACGGGUGGCCCCAAACCCUUCUUACAAUGUGUUCCUGGGGUCUGUAGAUAAAUAAAAAUACACCAAAUUGCGCAAUAUCGUUUGUGAUGUUUCAAAGAAAAUAUAUGUGAUCUUUACGUGGGUACUCACAAGUGUAGGGUCAAAAUGUAUUGACUCAAUUUCAUAACAUUGUGCAAAUUCGGGACUGCACUCCCCAUUCAAUGAACCGAUAUCGGAAACCAGGAUCAUCCAAAAGUAAAAACGAUUAUUUAAUACACUCAUAUAAAUAAAAUAGCCACAAUGUGCUUUAAAAAUACCGGGACGCGUUUCGCCACUACCAACGUGGCUUCUUCAAACCGGAUUGUAGAAAAGCAACAGUGAUCCUGGAACUCCUCUUCUUAAAUUUAAAUAUAAAAAAACGGCGGGCAAAUUCCACAGCACCUUAACCGUCGCACAUCGGUACCACCCACAGGUACGACGUGUGCUGUCCAUGCCUCCCUUUCAUGUUAAUAUCGGGAGCGAAGAUGCUUAUAUUCUUUCUUAUCGUUCCCAUUCGUCUUUGUUCUUCAAUAGCUGAUAUGUAUAUCUUGAAAGUUCCUUGUUUAAUAUAAAAAUUAAAUACUCUAAUGUCCUCAAAAGUUCAUCCAGCAAAGAAUAUUUGUUCUCAUAUAUAAAAAAAAAAAAAACAGGAAAGAAAGCAAGAAAUAGAAGCAAAAGAAUAAAGAACAGCAUCAGUUUUCUUCUUGUUACAAAUAUUACGAUCUCUUUCAUCUGUAACAUUUUGUUUUGUCAGUUCUAAUUCACAGUAAUAUUAUAAUGGAUACAUUGUCAGUCUUAGUUAUUUACCGACAUUUUAACAUUUCNNNNNNNNNNNNNNNNNNNNNNNNNNNNNNNNNNNNNNNNNNNNNNNNNNNNNNNNNNNNNNNNNNNNNNNNNNNNNNNNNNNNNNNNNNNNNNNNNNNNGAUCUUAAUGCAAUCAGUAAUAAUAAAAACCCAGAUAAAAUUAUAACAUCGUUACAUAUCCCCUUUCUGUUUUUAAAAAAAGAAAAAAAGAUUAUACUGUGGAUAGAUAUAAUAAUAACUCAUCUUUGCGUUCUGUUCUUGGAUAUCCACAGUAAUUCAUAAAUAUACUUACUAAACAACAAAUUAACUGAUUUACAAAAAAGAUUAAAAUGUUAUAAGAUAAUUGUUGUAAAGGCUAUUGUAAUUAUUAUUAUUUGAACCCUGAUCAAUUUAAUUAACAAUAUUAGCAAAGUAAAUUUCCGAUCCUUUUAGCAUACAUAUUUAUAAAUUAUUAAAAUAAAUUAUUUAAACGGAAUCUUCAAAUCUUUAUGUGCUUAUAUCAUUAUACAUAAAUCGUACAUGUCUAUCUUAUCCAUAUAAUAACUUCUAAAAUCAAAUAAUAUAUAAAUAAAUUACUUACAUAAAAUGUUAUAAAAAGUGACUAUUUAUGUUACCCCACCUAAAACUAGAAAAGGGGUUUAUAUAACUACUAACAUAAUACUUCCCCUUUUAUUAAAGAAUUCCAUCAUAAAAAAUGGCACAACUCAAAAUCUGCAUUAAGACCAUAUGGAAUCAGUGUAUUUAAUCUAUAGAUCCAUUCCAUCUCACGCUUACCUAAAUCUCUUACGAAGUCCCCUCCUCUCCAAUUUCUAUUUAUUUUAUUAAUCCCCACAAACUGUAAACCCUCUGAUUUUUGGUCAUGACAUAAUUUAAAAUGGCUCGAGACGCUAUGUUGCUCGAAACCUGUCUGGAUUUUGUAUAUGUGUUCUCUGAUUCUAGUAUGAAGUGGUCUUGUAGUCCUCCCCACAUAUUUCAGUCCACAUGGACAGAUUAAAAGAUAUAUUACAUUUUUAGUAUAGCAUGUUAUGAAUUGCUUGAUCUGAAUUUUUUUCUCCUUAUCCGAUGUUAUAUCUUUUAUUAUUCUUCGUUUACAUCCUGACUUUUUACAGGCAGAACACUGAUCACAACCAUAAAAUCCUUUCUCAUUAUUGAAUAUAGUGGAGGUAUGGUUUUGUUCCUUAAGAGAACUCCGAACCAGGCUAUUCCUCAGAUUUUUUGCACCCCUAUAAAUCAUCCUGGGUUUUGCAGGAAGAAUUUGUUUAAGUGCUGGAUCCUGUAAUAGGAUCGGCCAAUAUUUCCUGAUGAUUCGGUUUAUUUGAUAAUUAUUGUUGUUGUAAUUACAGAUGAAGGGAAUAUCUUGUGUAUUAGUAAUAGUUUUGGUUUUAUAUACUAAUAAAUCCUUCCUCUCCCUAUUUCUUAUUUCAUUUCUUGAUUUCUCUAGUUUUUCUAGAUCAUAGCCCUUCACGGCAAAAUCAGCUUUUAUCCGUGAUGAUUGUUCAUCAUAGACUUCCAAAUCGCUGCAGUUUCGUCUAAUUCUAAGAAAUUGUCCCUUAGGGGCAUUUUCCAACCACGGAGAGUGGUGGCAGCUUAUACUCUCUAUAAAACUAUUACAGUCAACUUUUUUAAAGUGAUUUUUAGUUUUAAUUUUACCUCCUUCAAUAAAAAUAUCAAGAUCUAAAAAGGUUACUAUUUCUUUACUCCAAGUACUACUUAGCCUGAUACCCCAAUCAUUGGUAUUUAAAAAUUCUAAAAAGGAGACUAAGUCAUUUUCUUCUCCCCUCCAAAUCAAUAAAAUGUCAUCAAUGUAUCGGCCAUAGAAGGCCAAGUUUCCCCCCCAGCCAUGCCCCUCAUAAACAUAGGAUUCUUCCCAAAAAGACAUAAAUAGGUUUGCAUAGCUGGGGGCAAACUUGGUCCCCAUGGCCGUCCCAUUAGUUUGUAGAAAAAAGGUAUCAUUGUACCAAAAGUAGUUAUUAUUUAAAAUAAGUUUUAUUCCUUCCACUAUGUAUUCUAUCUGUUCCUGUUUAAAUUCUUUUGAUUCCAUUAAAAAAUGUUUUGCCGCUCUACAUCCAUAAGAAUGGGGAAUGUUACUGUAAAGGGCCGCCACAUCACAAGUGACUAAAAUACAGUCAUUAUCCCAAGGCAUAUCUUCCAAAACUUGUAAGACUGUAAUCGUAUCUUUAAUAUGUGAUCUAGUUUUCAUGACUAAAGGUUGUAAUUGGACAUCUAUAUAUUGUGAUAGUCUGCUUGAAAUUGAGUCUAUGCCUGCUAUAAUGGGUCUUCCUGAAGGUUUCUCUACAUUUUUAUGGACUUUAGGUAAAAAAAAAAAAAAACUGGUAUUUUGGGGAAUUUAAUAUUUAAAAACUGGAAUUCUUUUAAACUUAAAAUAUUCUCAUUAAACCCUUUGUUAAAAAAAGUUAAAAAAAGAGAAUUAAUACUGUCACUUGGGUUCAUCCCUAAUUGUUGGUAAGUAUUAGAAUCUUUUAAAAUAUUAUUUGCUUCUGUAUCAUAAAACUGUUUAGACAUAAGCACUAUCCCCCCUCCCUUAUCUGCCGGUUUAAUAACUAAAUUUUUAUCUGUUUGAAGAUCCUUGAGUGCUUUCUUUUCCAAUAUUGUCAAGUUAUCUUUAAACUUAUCGUUAGGGAUAAUUUUAUUCAUUUCUGUUGUAACCAUAGUUUCAAAUGUUAUUAUUUCGUCUGAUAGCAUUUGUUUGGGGUAGAAGGAGGAUUUGUUUUUAAGGGAAGUGUGUUUAAACCCAGAUUCAUCCUCUAGAUUUAUAUUCUGGUUAAUUUGAUCCCUAUUAAGCGGGUCCCCCCAAAAAAAAUUUUUCAAACAUAAACUACGUUUAAAGCGGUUUAAAUCUAUAUACAUAUCGAAAUGAUUUAAUCCUGUGCUAGGGGCGAAUUUUAACCCUUUAUUAAGUACUGAUUUAUGAUGAUUAUCAAGGAUUUUAUCACUUAAAUUAAAAAUGCCUUUUAUUAAUUCCGUAGAUUCAGGUCCCUUCUUUUUGAUCUGUAUUCGUUUCCCUCCCCUUGUUCCUCUAUAUCUGAGGCUCUCCUUUUCCUGGAAUUUGUUGGAAUACUUUGCUCUUGAUCUAACUUGUGUCUGUCUUUGGUUUUGGAUUGUCGAAAAACCUCUUCUUCCCUAUAAUCUGACAGAGCUUCAUAUCGGUUAUAAGUGGGGAUUCUUUCCUGAUUACUCUGGUAUUGUCUAUAUGGUCUCUGUUCUCUAUAAUUCUGAAAAUCUUCCCUAUUCCUAUAACUCCUUCUCUCUCCUUCUGAAUUCUUCCUUAUAUUAGUGUAAUUAUAAUUAUCCCUAGUGGUGUUCAAUCUUGGUCUCCACUUCUCUCUUGUUUCAUUGUGAAAAAAUCUCCUAGGGUAAUUGGAUUUAUAAUGAUUCCCCUUAUAUGUUCUAUUUGUAUGUUCUUCAUUAAUUUCCUCUAAUUGAUUAUUAUGCCUUACUCUCAUAGGGGUGGUUUGUUUUGUCGCUUGAUAUUUUUGGGCAUAUUUGGAGAAAGAUAUGUGUCUGGUGCCAUCUCCUGGAAUGCUCCUGACUUUCUCUCGGGGGGGAAUAAUGGGUUCUGUGUGAGUGGAUACAAAGGUGAGGGAUGUGAUGCUAUGUUUGGUGUCUGUCUGAUCUUUGACCACAGCAGUAAUGUCAGUGUUACUGUGGAAUGUGGCGUGUACCCCGGUGCUAGGCAAGGUUUUCCCUUCUCAUGCAACGGGCCGUGAAUGAAGCAGUUUACAAUUGUACCCAUUGUUUGGGAUUGUGUGGCUGUGCCCAUUCAUAUAUUCUGGUGAGUAUGAUGGAGUGGUGGUAGGUUUCCAGGUCUGGCAGACUUAGGCCUCCCUGUGUUUUCUGCUUGGAUAGACAGGUAUACUUUAGUCUAGAGUGUUUAUGAGCCCACAAGAAGGACGAGAAAAGGCAUUUCACCUGUAUGAAGAAGGCAGGAGGUAUGCUGAUGGGCAGGGUUUGUAGUAGGUAGAGUAAUUUGGGUAGCACAUUCAUCUUCAGAAUGUUUAUUCUACAGUGCCACCCAAAGUACGGCUUGUUCCAGGCCUUGAGGUCUUUGGCAAUGGAUGUCAAUAAUGGUGGGAAGUUCAGGUCAUAUAUCUGCGGUAACACUUUAGGUAAAUGUAUCUCUAGAUGUUUUACUGCCACUGGUGACCAGUUGAGGGGGGAUAGUUGUGUUUUGGCGUCUUUGGUGGUGCUAGAGAUAUUGAGUGGUAGGAUCUCGCUUUUAGUGACAUUGACCCUGAAGUUGGACACCUCAGCAUACGUGUCUAUAUCUGUGAAUAUACGGUGGAGUGAUGAAUUUGGAUUUGUGAUUGCGAAGAGCAAGUCACCAGCAAAAGCAGAGACUUUGUGUUUGCAGCCCUGUGCAGCAAUGCCCUUAAUGGUCCUGUUUUCCCUAAUUCCUUGGACGAAGGGUUCCAUGAGUAGAAUGAAAAGGAGAGGGGAAAGGGGGCACCCCUGUCUCGAGCCAUUGGUAAUGGGGGCUGUGUCCGAUAAUUGUCCGUUGACCCUGAUCCUGGCUCCUGGUUUGGAGUAAAUGGGAUCCAUUUCAUCCAGUUUGGGCCGAACCCCAUGGCCUGGAGGGUGUUCUCUGCAUCAAUGGUGAGGAGGAGGCUCUUUGAUGCUUCCCUCCCCGAGAGGUGGAUAAGGUUGAGGAGUUUAGUGGUAUUAUUUUUGCCCUCUCUCCCGGGUACGAAUCUCUCCUGAUCAAGGUGGACUAGGUCUCUUUGAAGCGAUCUGAGACGUAUGGCCAGGAUCUUUGUGAAGAGCUUCAGGUCAAUAUUGAUCAAGGAUAUCGGCCUGUAACUUCUGCAUUCUGUUGGGUCCUUCCCUGGUUUGGGUAUAUGGUUAUGUGGGCCUCUGAAGCUGUGUCUGGGAGGGUACUGGAUUGUGUGAUUGAGUUGAAGGUGCAUAUGAAUGAGACUGUAAGUUCGGAAGAGAAAAAUGUUAUAAUAUUUGGCUGUGAACCCGUCUGGUCCUGGGCUUUUGCCCAGUGGUAGAUGUUUUACCGCUAGGUGGAAUUUGUCCGGUGUGAGGGGGGCAUCAAAAAUCUGCCUAAUGUUCGGUGGGAUUGUCUGAGUGAGUCGUUUAUACAGAAAGUGGUCAAUUGGGAUGGUGGAGAUUAUCUGAGGUUGUAAAGAUUAGAUUAGAAGGUGUGAAAGGCUUGCAGUAUCUCUGGCAAGAGGUGGGGGUCACGUUGGGUGUCUUUACCUGGGAAAGUUUGUUGCCUGUUGUGUUGUAAAGCUUUGGCCAACAAGCACCCACCUCUCCCCCCUUAAAUAUGAGUGUAUGGAUAGAAGUAGUUAGAGUUUUAUCUGGGAAUUCAGGAUUUGCUGUAGCUUGGAACGUUGUCUAUGAGUUGUUUAUGUAUGUCUAGGGAACUGGACUUCCCUAUGUUUCUUAUGUUUAGACGCUAGUGCAAUAAGGUGCCCUCGUAUUACUACCUUGUGGGCCUCCCACGGGAUUGGGGGUGAGGUUAUUGUUAUGAAUGCUCCGAAAAGUAGUGUUGUAAGUCAGUAGAUAUCUGUUUAACUAUGGAUGGGUCAAUAAGAAGCAUAUUGUUAAGCUUUCAUUGGAAGCUUUUUGGGGAGAGGGUGGGUAUGCGGAUGGUCUGAUCACGUUAUGGGGCCAUAAGCACAGGACUGAAUCAGCAUGGAGUAUGAGUGUGUAACCGCCGAGUAGAAUGAGUAGUCCCUCGUUUGAGGGUGGGUUAUCCGCCAGCUAUUGAAUAGCCAUGCAUUAUCUAGUAGCUGAGUUAUUCUUGAUCUAGUUGAUUCUUGAUCUAGUAUUUAUGAAGGAAGCUGCAUUGUUUGGAGUUCGGAAUAUAGAGAUUGGCCAAGUUUACUACUGUGUUGCCUAUCAAUCCUUUGACCACUAUCAACCUGCUGCUAGGGUCUGAGUAAUGGUCUAUCUAUUUAAAUGGAAUAUGGGUUCCUACGAGGAUGGCUACAUCUCUCUUUUUAGCUCCCACAUAGUUGCUGAACUAUCCUUGAGGGUAAUGCCUGUCCCCGAGAGUCGAGGCUGCAUUUGCCCUGAAGUGUGUCUCCUGAAGAAACACCACGUAGGCUCUAAAUUUGUGUAGUUUGUGCAGUACUAGGGAGCGUUUGGCAGGGGUGUUUAAACCUGGAACGUUUAAUAUAACUACGUUAAUAUCUGCCAUGCGUGGCUCUGAGCUGUUUUCGAUGGUCUGAGACAGUAUCCUGCUGUGUAUAUGUUACCACAGAGUAUAGAGAGUAUGUUGAUGCAAUACAUUUGCAGAUGUAGCUUAGUGUGAUGGUGUCUUUCCCAUGUUUGUGGUACACCUAAUGGGAAACAGGUUUGGCAGCGCUUCAGCGGCUCUUGUUUCUCGGUUCAGAUAAGCUUUAUGAGGGGAGAUAGAUUCGAGUGUCUGCUAGGGAGAUGGGAUGGACAAUCUAAGUAUUGCUGAUAUCGUAACUUGUGUUUAGGAAUUGGGGUGGUAUAUUUGGGUAGUUAUGGGGCAAGGGUACAGUCUGACGAUCGUUCCCCCAUGCCCAGGUUGAAGAUAUGAGGCAUGUGAUCUGGGAUAAUUUAGGGGGUUUUGACUCUCCCUCCCACCGCUAUGUUCCUAAUGCCAUCACCACAUCGAGUUGAUGUUUGCUUUGCCCUUACAAUGUUAGAUGUGUGCAUCCACAGGGUACCCUCUUCUACUAAGUACUGCGGGCAGUGUAAGCUUCAUGCGUCGCAGUUGAGGGGGGUGAAAAAUAAAGAGCACGGUUACAUCACUUUGGUAGGUAGCUUUGGUAGGUAGUUUCCUGGGCACGAGUUAGAGGGCCACCGGAGCGUGAGAAAGUUGGUGUGCUAGGGGUGAGGGGCAUCGGAGGCCCUUGUGAUCUGGAAGCGGGGUACCUGUAGAGCAACGGAUUGUAUUUGCAUGCAAUAUAAGAGACACAGUAUAUGGGAUACAACAUAUAGGUUAGAUUUUACCAUCUGUUUACGCCUCUUCCCUCUCUGUUUGCCACAGCUACCCAACCACUGGGUAAUGCAAGUCCCUGUCUGGUUAAGAUUUUGUUCGGAUGCCGGGUUAUUGGUUCGGGAAGUAUUUUUUGCUGUGUCCGAUCCCUCCGGGAAAGUAUGGCUUCGGGUAAGCAGCUGGGCAGAGCGGGGUAACCAUAUUCCAUUGGCGAUCAGGGUCCAUGCGUAGUCGGGUUUCUUGGCACAGAGUCCUUUUUUUUUUUAGGAGUAUGAGGCUGGGGGUAUUCCUUUUAUGGCUCGUCUCAGGUAUGUAUCCCAUCUUGGUUUCCACUCUGCAUCCUGGGGGUAGUCUAUAGGGAGCCGCAGGGUAACACCGUGGGGAGCCGAGUAGAUUUACAGUUUUUUUGCACUUUACGCCAUAAUUCUCCCCUCAAGCGGCUACCCUUAGUCGGAAGUUGGGUAGAAGCACCUGUAGAGAUGAUCCGGGUCUUGGAUGAGGCUUUGGGUGGUGGGAUUAUGGGCUAUUGGGUACCAAUCUACAGACAAUGUACGGUAGAUUACCGUCUUGAGGAAGGGCCUGCCGGGGUUUGCGGUCCAGAGGGUGGGUCUCUGUGGUUGUUGAGGCGUCUCUUGGACGGCGUCUGCCAUCAUGGGUGUUGUGGUUGUGCCUGUUGUGGGCUGUACCAGUCCUGCAGCUGAAUGUUGGGGAGACCCAUGGUCUGCGUGAAAAGUGCUGUGUCACUGGCUGUGGAUAGGGUAGCUGUAGCCCCAUUAUUGGAGGUCAUGAGGGCCAGAGGGAAACGCCUCCGGUAUCUAAUAUUCCUGGACCGUAGUAUGUCCGUGAGGUCGUGAGGUCGUGAGGGCCAGAGGGAAACGCCACCGGUAUCUAAUAUUCCACGCCCUUCUGGCUUGGAGAGUCAUCCAUGAGAGAUCUGGGAAUAUUUGUACCUGUGCCCCAUGGAACAACAGUGGCUGGGAGGUUUGUCUGAGCAUACUGAGGAUUUCCUCCUUGACCCUGUAAUAGUGAAGCCAUUCAGGAAGGCACUUUUUCCUUCUUCCGUGGUUUUCUAAGUCAUCCAAGGAUCUGUACAUUGCAGCUAGCUGCACGUUCUGAGCUUCCACUGUGCUCUGCAAUUGAUGGAUUUGAGUUUGGGUAAAAUCCUGAUCGUCUUCCAACGUGGUGACCCUGUCUCCCACCUGUUUGAUUUCUGCGGCUAUGGCAUCCAUUUUAACUUGGAUCGACACUUCCCAUUUAUGGAGCAUAGUAGCCAGGUCUUGCUUAGAAGGUAGUUUUGUGAGCACUGACCUGAGUCCUUGAUCCAUUUUCAAUAACAAGUUUUUGGAGUUCGUCAGGCUAGAUGGGGGUGAUGUGCCCAGGGGGAUUCUGGUGCCAUGUUUGGGCCUCGUGCUUCAGCUUGCUGCUCUGACUAUGUCACAUCCUGUUCCUCGCUGCGGAUCAUUCUGGCAAUGGCUUCUGGUAUUCAGUACUCUUUUUGCUGUCCUUGCUUGGUUUUUCUGGUCUAUGUCUGGUUUUCUUUGUUGCUGGGUUUCUGGGUUCAUUCUUAUAUUCCGUCCCUGGAUUUCCCAGUCUCUUGGAAUCACUUGUUGGAUUCAAAUGUUUGUUUUAUGUUGGCACACCCGUUUGUUUUCCACUUUCCUUUUGUUUCAGUCUGGACCUGCAGCAGUGUUUCUAGUCUCUGCCCUUUCUUGCAGGUAAGUGCUAUAUUGUGGUUUAGUAUGGUUGUUUUAGCAUGCAUUAGGCACUGUAGGACCUGCCAAAUAUGGGGUACAUUGGCAUUGUUGGCAGGCUUGUGCAAUGUAUGAUCAUAUAAUGUGACUAAAUCCCCAUACUUUUCAUAUAUAAUACUUAGCUAUGUUUCCUCUUGUUAUACCUUGUAUUUCUUGUCUUGUUUUACUUUGUCUUAUAAUCCCAGUCCAUGUACAGUCCUGUAGAGUCAUGCCCAUGCUAUAUUCUUGUUUUCCUCAUGUCUUGUGUACAUGUUUUAGGUUCUGCUUUCUGUCCUGCUCUGGUUCUGGGUUCUCCUAGUUUUGUUUUGUUUUUGUGUAUGGUGCCUAUCUUUAGUCUUGCUUUCAUACAUGGUGCCUUGCUCUCCUAGUCUUGCCUUACUUCAGUACUGGAUACAUCCCUGCUGCAGAGCCUCCCUAUUCAGCUUCUGGGAGGUCUGCUUAAUUACCUGCUUCUAGUUCCUGGGAUCUGCAUAAGCUGAAUCAGGGUUCUGGUAUGUGGCUGCACAAACGCUGGUGCUCAACACCAGGGGGCUUGCAGUUACUCUGCACCAGGCCCUGCUAAUCCACCUCCACACUGUGACUCCUACUCUGAACAUCAGGCAUAUUGGGUCCCAGUCCAUGCACCGCCGCCCGGACAGUGUCUGGGUCCCGGGCACCGGACCGCCACCCUGACAGCCUUGUCCUUGAAGUACUUUGUCAGUGCCCACGAUUUGCCACCCGUCAGUUUCCAUGACAUGUGGGGGGUUGAUGAAGAAUGUUUGGGGUGCCCCAUGAUGUCUGAGGAUUGUCCGUGUUUGCUCCCAGAGCUCAACGUUUAAGCGGCCAUACAGGUCCGCAGUUAUAUCUUUUAUAUACAUGUACACUUUGCUUUGUGGGGGGAUUGUUGACUCAGAAAACAAAUCAAGAGCAAUCCCAAAGGGUUAAAUUCCAAACAAAUGCAGGAUGAAUGUUAGUUUAUUUGUCUAAGAGAAAUGAGAGGUAGGAACAGAAGUAAAAAUGUCGAGUUGCUUUUAAGAAAUGGGGGGUAACCCCUAGUAACUAUUGUAAAGAGAAAAAAAGAGAAUAAACAAAAACAGAGAAACCAUAGGGUUAAGGUAAAUCAGUCCCAAAGGUUCCCUGUAAUUGCAGUGCAACGCAAAGGAAAGUAAUUUAAAAAUUAACUUUUAAUAAAUUCCUUCUAAAAAAUCAAUGCCUAAAUGAUAGGUAAUAAGUAACACACAAAUAAUAAUUAAAUAAAAAACGGAGAGAGAGGACAAUAGAACUUGCAGAGUAACUAGGUAAUUCACAGAAAAAGAAAGGGGUUGCCUAAUAUAUCGUGGAAACAUCCAAUAAUAUCUAUAAUGAAAAAAAGGUUUUAAGUCUAUCUAACUGUGCAAACCCUAGUAUUACUAGUACUGUCUCCUAACUCCCAGUACUCACAGGCUCGAAUCACCUGCCUAAAUACAACAAAGUAAAGCAUCAAUAGAAGAUACACAGAGGUUAAAGUCUAAAGAUAAAAGUGAAGAGAGGGUGGUCUGCUCGGAGCAUCCUAAAUGAUCUAAACUAGCUGCAGCAUAGUCCCCAGUCAAUCUCCAACCACCCGCUCGCUAACUAAUCCCGACGCGCGUUUCACCACAGAGUCUCUUCCAGGGGAACCGAGCUGGACGCCGGCCGUCAUUUAAAUAGCCCGCCCUCCUCUAGGAUGGGUCAAUGUUCAGACCAAUCACGAACGAGGGGGCGGAGUCAAAUACCGAAGCCGGUUAACCCAUGAUCGCAGGGGAAGCCGGCACGGAAGAUUAAUGAAAUGAAAAAGUCUUUAGAAAAGUCAAAGUGAAGUGUGAUUGUUGAUGAAUAAACUAUUGAAGUAGAAUGUGAUGUGAAACAAGUACCUGCAUAAUGAGCAGGCUUGUGAAUAAAAGUGUCCAUCAUUGUUAUGAAAUAACAUCAGGAUACAAUUAUAACAUUACAUAAAUAGUACCUGGAUUAUAAAACAAAGAAUUAGUUGUUAUGUAAAAAUUGCUCUUAAAGCUUGAAUACAUAAUAGAAACAGGCUUAUAAAUGUAGGUCCUCAAUGCUGGAAAAUUAUUGAGCAAUAUAUUUGAUCUGCAUGAUCUUGGUCCUGUAUAUUCUCUUGCAUUUAGGACUUACAUUUCUAAGCCUGUUUUUAAUAUGUAUUCAAGAUGCUAGAACAAGUUUUUACUAAAACUAAUACCUUUUUGUAGAUAGUUCUUUCACAAUUCAUACACUGUUGAUGUAGUGUUACAAUUGUAUCCUGAUCUGUUACUUUGUAAAAGUAAUGGACACCUUUACUCAUUAAUCUGGUGUACUAUGUUGUUUAUAAUUCUAUCAUUACUCUCAUUAUUAUUAUUGGGCAAUAUAAUUGACCUGCAUGACUUUGGUCAUAUGUAUUUUCCAGCAUUGAGGACCUACAUUUAUAAGCCUGUUUCUAUUAUGUAUUCAAGCUUUAAGAGCAAUUUUUACAUAACAACUAAUUCUUUGUUUUAUAAUCCAGGUACUAUUUAUGUAAUGUUAUAAUUGUAUCCUGAUGUUAUUUCAUAACAAUGAUGGACACUUUUAUUCACAAGCCUACUCAUUAUGCAGGUACUUGUUUCACAUCACAUUCUACUUCAAUAGUUUAUUCAUCCACAAUCACACUUCACUUUGACUUUUCUAAAGACUUUUUCAUUUCAUUAAUCUUCCGUGCCGGCUUCCCCUGCGAUCAUGGGUUAACCGGCUUCUGUAUUUGACUCCGCCCCCUCGUUCGUGAUUGGUCUGAACAUUGACCCAUCCUAGAGGAGGGCGGGCUAUUUAAAUGACAGCCGGCGUCCAGCUCGGUUCCCCUGGAAGAGCCUCUGUGGCGAAACGCGCGUCGGCAUUAGUUAGCGAGCGGGUGGUUGGAGAUUGACUGGGGACUAUGCUGCAGCUAGUUUAGAUCAUUUAGGAUGCUCCGAGCAGACCACCCUCUCUUCACUUUUAUCUUUAGACUUUAACCUCUGUGUAUCUUCUAUUGAUGCUUUACUUUGUUGUAUUUAGGCAGGUGAUUCGAGCCUGUGAGUACUGGGAGUUAGGAGACAGUACUAGUAAUACUAGGGUUUGCACAGUUAGAUAGACUUAAGACCUUUUUUUCAUUAUAGAUACUAUUGGAUGUUUCCACGAUAUAUUAGGCAACCCCUUUCUUUUUCUGUAAAUUACCUAUUUACUCUGCAAGUUCUAUUCUCCACUCUCUCCGUUUUUUAUUUAAUUAUUAUUUGUGUGUUACUUAUUACCUAUCAUUUAGGCAUUGAUUUUUUAGAAGGAAUUUAUUAAAAGUUAAUUUUUAAAUUACUUUCCUUUGGGUUGCACUGCAAUUACAGGGAAUCUUUGGGACUGAUUUACCUUAACCCUAUGGUUUCUCUGUUUUUGUUUAUUCUCUCUUUUUCUCUUUAUUUGUCUAAGUGUUCAGGAUAGCGGAUUAUCCCAUUAAUUGAAAAUUAUAUCCAGCUGCUGAAAACUAAACAAAAAUAUCAGAUUUUUUCUGUUUAAAAGAAAUUCAUUAGCUAGACCGCCAUAAUAGUGGUAGUUUAUAUAAAACCCUUUCUGUUAGUAUCAGCAUCCCAGUUGUAACUACUGCCUCAGGUGUCAGCCAUGUUUGUAUCUAAUUAGUAUACAUUUUUCUUAAAGGACCACUAUAGUGCCAGGAAAACAUACUCGUUUUCCUGGCACUAUAGUGCCCUGAGGGUGCCCCCACCCUCAGGGACCCCCUCCCGCCCGGCUCUGGAAGGGGAAAGGGGUAAAAACUUACCUUUUUCCAGCGCUGGGCGGAGAGCUCUCCUCCUCCUCUCCGCCUCCGUUACGCCCCGCCGGCUGAAUGCGCACGCGCGGCAAGAGCUGCGCGCGCAUUCAGCCGGUCUCAUAGGAAAGCAUUUACAAUGCUUUCCUAUGGACGCUGGCGUGCUCUCACCGUGAAAAUCACAGUGAGAAGCACGCAAGCGCCUCUAGUGGCUGUCAAUGAGACAGCCACUAGAGGAUUAGGGGGAAGGCUUAACCCAUUCAUAAUUAUAGCAGUUUCUCUGAAACUGCUAUAAUUAUGACAAAAUGGGUUAACCCUAGAAGGACCUGGCACCCAGACCACUAAGCUGAAGUGGUCUGGGUGCCUAGAGUGGUCCUUUAAUACCUAAAUAGUGGCAUUUUUUAAAGUUAUAGUCAGUACUCCAGUUGCAACAUUCAUUCAGCUUGGAAGUUACUACAAUUUACUGCAAUUUACUGACUCAGGUACUAGUUUCUUUUUUAUUCAUUUUAGGAUAUGUAUUCUGAUUUCACUGCAAUAUAAGGCUUGUUUUAUUAUUUCCAUUCAUUAGCUAACUCUUUCUUUCUCAAAUUUAGAAUUAUUUGAGAACAUUUAAUCGAUAUAAAAGUAGUCCUAUCAACUUUUUGUGAAGAUGUUUUCAAGUCUACCCCUCCCCUUUUCUCAUAAUAAAUCUGAGCUAAUUAUUUUUUAACUAAGUAUGAAAGGUUCAUUCUAAUUAAAUUUUUUAAAUUUAUAGAGCAAUACACUAUUCAAUCCAAAAAAAAAAUGAUUGCGCUACUUUAGCAAUUUACAAUAAGGUUGAAUAUAUUGUGAAUAUAUCCAGCUUUGUUUAACUAAAUCUGUACUGCUCAUUAGCUAUCUAUUUUUACACACCAACACAUUUUUUUUUUACUAAUGCACCUUUGUGUUUGUUUCUUUUUUACACAGUUUGUGUUAUUCAUUAUUAUUAUUAAUUUAAUUUUUUGGCCAUUAAUAAUUAGAUAUUGUUUUAUUUUACAUUACCUUUUUGAAUGUUUGUACUUAAGGGUAAUUUGGUUCUUUCUUUGGACUUUAGCCCUUUAGGACUUCUCUCCAUUUGUUUUCUAAGUGUAUUCUAGUUGGGUUAUGCCCUAAUUACCCUGCAACCAUUACAAACACUAGUGCAACAUUCUUGCUGACUGUCACCAAGGUUUGUUUUAUUUAAUAUUCUUGACUCAAUCUAUGUAUCUGGACCAUAUGGCAAGACAUACUCAAGGUACUAUGCUCCUCUUUGUAUCUGUAUUGUUUUUGUAUAUGUGCAUGUAUGCCUACUUUGCUUAACUAAAAACAAAUGGUUGAUUGCACACAAAAAUGUUAUAAACAAUCAAUUUGUUUAUAAACUAUAACAUUUAAUAAAUAACAUAAAAUCAAAAUACAUAACACCUAAGCAGGACUUCCUCUCACCAAAGUGAUUUUGAGGAAGAAGUUUUUAAUUUUUACUGUUUUUUUUAAAUGUUUAAUUUUUUAUUAGAUAUUUGAUUUCAUUACAAUAAAGACAGGACCUGUGCCCUGAGAGAAAUAAUUUGAAUCUUGACCACAUUAAAACUUUUGGCAUAUACACCUUAGCCUGGUUCAGUGUCAGGGAUAUCAACUACAGACUGAGUGCAUGUGCACAGGCUCCGCAAACACUAAAUGCUUCUUCCAAACCAUCCUAUACCAGCAUUAAAAAUGUCCAAAACCACGUCUGUUAGGUAUUCCUAAUUGCAAUACCAUACUAAAGUUCAACAAAACAAGAAAAUGGACCUGUUAAUUUUAAUGUGCACCUUAUUAAUAGCUCGGUGUGACUGAGAAUUACGCCAAACAGGGGACUAUGUCAGACCAAACCAAAACUAAACCAAGCAAUAUAAGCAACAGGUUCAAACAAUCUCUCUUCAGAGAUGGGAGCACAUGGGGGCGACCAAGGUCAUUCUUGGACAGGUGGUUAACUAAAAUGGGAGAGCUGCAGCCAAAACUCAACUCUGAAAGUCAUUAAUCCCUCCCAAGACAUACCCCGAAUACCUAACCACCAAACAUGACCUAAGAGGAAAACCCAAGCUGACCUAUAGCCAUUCUCCUGGCGGUCCAGUGGAAAUACUUAUGCUUCAUGUUACAAGCCAGGCUUUAUCGAGAACCUAAAAAAAAAAAGCAAAACAAACAAAACAAAUAGCAUAGUAUAUGUUAAACAGACGCAAACACAUACCCACAGCCCAUGCACCCACUACUCAACAUAAGCAGAACACAAGAAAGAAAGAGUUUGCUGUGCACCAGCCCAAAUCCCUAUGCAUAUUUAACUAAAUGGAGGUUAUUCAGUAACUCAAAUGGCCAUUAGAUGUAAGCCCACCUGCUACAUUAAGGCACAUGUGACAAGUGGGUCCUACACUAACAAUGCACAUUAAUUGCUUCAGCUUCAGGCAAAGAAACCUCAGAGACAGAGAGGGGUAUUUUUCUAUACCACUACAUACUUGAUGUGGCAGGUGGCCUUACAUGUAGUGGCCAUUGGACUUAGUAAAUAACCUCCAUUUAUUUAAAUAUGCAUAGGAAUUUGGGCAAGUGCUCAGGUAACUAUUUUUCUUUGGUUUUUAUUGUAUGCAUUAGGACUGAUGUGUGCUAUGGUUGCUGUUGCUGCCCAGGAGUAGUGGGAGUUUGAGCACAGAACUUAUUUUUGUGUAUUUAUAAUUAGAACACAAGUAAUGAUAUAAAGGAGUUUCCCAAAACAAGCACACCAUGAUAAGGCCUGUACCACCUCAAUAUACCUUUUGUGUUUUGAGAUUUUAAAUUGUUUAGAUUCUUAAUAUUAUUUUCUUAUUUUUAUUACAUAGUGAACAUAAGAAAAAUACCCAUGCAACCGCAUAAGUCAGACCAGAAAUGCUGGCGAACAUAGGACAGAAAAAAAAAAAAUCAAAUGAAAGCCCGAAGGUCAUCCAACUUAUCCAGCGGCAACCUGCAUAACUGCUAACCUGAAUCUAUUUCAAUCCCAAGAAACUUAAUCACAGACAUAGAG